GCAGGUCUCUCUUAUAGUUCGGAGAAGCUAGUUGACAUAGAGAUUAUGUAUCAGUCGUGAGUGAUGCUGUUAGUCCCGUGUAUGUGGUCGGUGCAAUGGUGAAUGGGAGUGUAAAGAAGGACUAUAUGCAUGAUUAUAUUUCAGUUUCUGGAUAUCCACUAUCUGCCAAAUGCUGCAUAGGACUGAUCUGUGAGGCGUUGGAGCAAAAAUGGAACAUCUUCUAAAUAUAUUCCGUUUGUGAGGAAGUUAUUCAAUUUAAGCAGCAACAUCCCUCCUAAAUUUAUAUUCUUUAUUUUGUGAAUUAAUUAGAAUAAAUAACAAGAAGAAUUGAUACAUUUCUCCUUACAAAUCUAUGAAAAGGAUGAGUUCUACUA